UGGGGAAUCUUGCACACUGGGCGCAAGCCUGAUGCAGCCAUGCCGCGUGUGUGAAGAAGGCCUUCGGGUUGUAAAGCACUUUCAGCGGGGAGGAAGGCGUUAAGGUUAAUAACCUUGGCGAUUGACGUUACCCGCAGAAGAAGCACCGGCUAACUCCGUGCCAGCAGCCGCGGUAAUACGGAGGGUGCAAGCGUUAAUCGGAAUUACUGGGCGUAAAGCGCACGCAGGCGGUCUGUCAAGUCGGGUGUGAAAGCCCCGGGCUCAACCUGGGAACUGCAUUCGAAACGGGCAAGGUAGAGUCUUGUAGAGGGAGGUAGAAUUCCAGGUGGAACAGUGAAAUGCGUGGAGAUCUGGUGGGAUACCGGUGGCGAAGGCGGCCCCCUGGACAAAGAAAGGCACUAAGGUGCGAAAGCGUGGGGAGCAAACAGG
rnacentral:rRNA from 1 species